rnacentral:lncRNA from 1 species
GCAGCAUGCUAUAGUAAAAUAAACAUUGAACUCUGGGGCUGGACAGCUCUGUGUUUGAAUCCUGGUUCAAUCAUUUACUAGGACCAGGCAUUCUGGACUGAGCCAGCAAUGGGACCAGGUUUCUAGAGGGAUGCUAGCUUUGGUGAGCUUGAAAUCAUUUAUUCAUGAAAAAUAUUUUAUUUAGUGCCUACUAUGUUCCAGACCCUAUUCUGGGCAUGGGGGAUGUUUAAAAUGGAAGUAAUAUGAAGUCUUUAACCUCAUAGAAUUUACCAUGACUUUGCAGGCCGGCCUUCUCUCCAGCCGUCAGUUGACCCUAAAAGGGCUAGAUGGCACAUUGCCCCUCCUGUGUCCAUAGGCAAUCAUGCAAAAUGCACUAAUUAAAUGUCUCCAUAAUGACUGUGCUUCAGGAAUGGCCUGGUGCCAAUGCCUUGAAAAGAAUGUGCUCCAAAUGCUGCUCUUGUCCUGGAGCUAAUGGAUAAAGUGACCACAGCGUACGCCUAGAAUUGAUUGUUUUCUUUAAAUUUAAUCAAGCCCUCCUCCCCUCCUCCCAUGAAAAUGUUAAUGCUUUCUUUCUACUACAGCCACUAUACCUUAACAUGAAAAGAAUUAAAUUUUCCCCUCUGACUUUUAAUUAUCCCCUGACAGCUUUGGGAAAUGGCAUGGGUAACACAAAUUAGAAAUGCCAGUUGGCUUUGGAAUGCAUCCUGUGUGCUUUUAAAACAGAUUUUCUGAGUUAUGUUUUAGACAAAUGUUAACGUUAAUUUGUGUCUCCUUAACAGACACCAACAGAUGAGCAGAAAAGGGACAGAGGUCCUUCACAAAUGUGAUGGUGUGACAGAGGACUUUCAAGGAUUAACAAUACCAUGAAGGAAACUGAAGUCCCAUGGAUGAAAGGACGUUUAGAAGAUCCUGUGGCCAGGUCCUAUUAUCUUUUGGAACUGGAACUUUCCUUUUGCCACUGAAUGAAUCAGAAGGAACUUGUCUUUGGACUGGAGCAAAAGAAGGAAAUGGCCUUUCAAGGAGGAAGGAGAGAACACUGGCCCUCAGGGAAGGACAAAUGCCAGCUGGGGAAGGCACAUAUGUGUGACUGCUUCUUAGAGAGGUAGGUCCUCAAAGGCAGUUUAAACAUAAACACGUUUUCUGUUCAGGAGCAGUGGGAGUUUUUCUAUUUUUUCUAUCAGUCUCAAUAGGCAACUUCAAAGAAACUGAAGUCAUAGAUGUAAAUAUAAUAGGUUUAGAAAUACUUGGUCUCUUCCUGAGAUCAAGCAAAAUCUGAGAUUUUACCGGGCAAGUGAUUUUUAUUUUAAAUCAAAAUGACACUUCACAUUUAAGUAAUUUUCCCCUCUGAAUAUUUUUUCAUUUCUCUUAUCUGAAUAAAAAGAGAGCUUUCCAACCA